rnacentral:lncRNA from 1 species
AAUAAUUGAGCUUAGGUUCUUAAGUUGUGGACUUAAAUAAAAGGUUAUUUUAGUAAGUUGGAGAUAAUGUUAGAAGAAAUAAUAAUGUUCUUAAUUCACCUAAAAUAAAUUUGUUUCCUCUAAUAUUUCAUUUUAUUCUUAUUCUUCUUUCUGUCUAAUGUUAUGUUUGGUUCUAGUGAUGUAAUGUUCACAAGUCACAAAAAGGAUUCGUCUGCCACGAAGAACACCC